CCCUGUUCUCAGGGCGGGGCGGAAUUCCCCACCGGCGGUAAGCGGAUCACUCCGUAAGCCCGCGAGCGCCUUCGCGUUAGUGAAGGGUCAGCAGAUCAGGUGCAACUCCUGAGCCGACGGUCAUAGUCCGGAUGAAAGAGAACGAGC
rnacentral:ncRNA from 2 species